GCGGCGGACGGGUGAGUAACACGUGGGCAACCUGCCCGCAAGACCGGGAUAACUCCGGGAAACCGGAGCUAAUACCGGAUAACACCGAAGACCGCAUGGUCUUCGGUUGAAAGGCGGCCUUUGGGCUGUCACUUGCGGAUGGGCCCGCGGCGCAUUAGCUAGUUGGUGAGGUAACGGCUCACCAAGGCGACGAUGCGUAGCCGGCCUGAGAGGGUGACCGGCCACACUGGGACUGAGACACGGCCCAGACUCCUACGGGAGGCAGCAGUAGGGAAUCUUCCGCAAUGGGCGAAAGCCUGACGGAGCGACGCCGCGUGAGCGAAGAAGGCCUUCGGGUCGUAAAGCUCUGUUGUGAGGGACGAAGGAGCGCCGUUCGAAGAGGGCGGCGCGGUGACGGUACCUCACAAGAAAGCCCCGGCUAACUACUUGCCAGCAGCCGCGGUAAUAC
rnacentral:rRNA from 1 species